UACGUAGGGAGCAAGCGUUGUCCGGAAUCAUUGGGCGUAAAGCGCGCGUAGGUGGCUUCGUAAGUCCGUUGUGAAAGUCAAAGGCUCAACCUUUGAAAGCCGAUGGAUACUGCGGAGCUAGAGUACGGAAGAGGCGAGUGGAAUUCCUGGUGUAGCGGUGGAAUGCGCAGAUAUCAGGAGGAACACCAAUAGCGAAGGCAGCUCGCUGGGACGUGACUGACGCUGAGACGCGAAAGCGUGGGGAGCAAACAGG
rnacentral:rRNA from 1 species